UCUUUCACUAUAAAAAAUGAUGUACAUCAAUAUGUUAAACUUCAGUUAGAACCGGCUACAUCAGAAUCACCUAUAGCAUAUUGUCUUCAGUAUAUCCAGCCCUAUGGCUUAAUUGUUGUGUUCAACAGCAUAAAAACUGAAUUCAAAAGGCGCAUAAGUAACACUAGUAGUAGUUUGUCUACGAGUUGCAAAACAUUUGAUGUUUAAUUCCCAGUUGCCCUCUGUACAGUACUACCCCAAUCCCCAAUGUGUGGCGACCGGCGACUAGGCAAAGCAAUCAGAUAGAAGACCACGACAUCCCCAUAGCUGCAUCACCGAACAAAAUCUGAGGAUUUUUCAGGGGCGAAGGUUGCAUUUGUUCAGGGGCAGAUGAUGAUAAACCGAGAAGUCAAGCAGAGUUAGGGCAAGGGCCAGCGUGCUCACCUCGAGCUGAGACUGGCUGGUGCCAGCGGCGGGAGGGAUCCGGCAGCCUGCUUCCGUCCAUUCACGCACGCGCAG
rnacentral:lncRNA from 1 species